rnacentral:rRNA from 1 species
GAUAGAGGAUGCAAGCGUUAUCCGGAAUGAUUGGGCGUAAAGCGUCUGUAGGUGGCUUUUCAAGUCCGCCGUCAAAUCCCAGGGCUCAACCCUGGACAGGCGGUGGAAACUACCAAGAUGGAGUACGGUAGGGGCAGAGGGCUCGUAGAGCCGGUGGAGCGGUGAAAUGCGUAGAGAUCGGAAAGAAUACCAAUGGCAAAAGCACUCUGCUGGGCCGACACUGACACUGAGAGACGAAAGCUAGGGGAGCAAAUGGG